GAUGCUCCCCAGGCCUGGCAGAACUUGGAACCUUGAAAAGGGAAUAAGGGGCCCUGGAAUGGCUGGGGUUGGGGUCACAGUGGGGCAGCAGGGAGUUAGUGGGGAAAGUAGAUGAAGACUUGGCUUCUGGUCUCAGCUGUGCCUGUUUGUGACCUUGAUUGAGCUACUUGCCCUUGACUUCUGCCUAUAAAUCAGAUGUAAAAAUGCCUGUUGGGAGAAAUGAGAACAUGGAGCCAGGGCUAUUUGGAGGAAAAGUACAUGGACCAAGUCUCAGGUGUGUCUGUCUGUGGCUGCACAGGCUUCCAAACCAAAACCUCACGUUCAGAGAACCGAGUGUCCUCUGUCCCCAGGGCCUGUGCCCUAGAUUUUAACACUGCACCCUCAUUUUGUGCCCUAUAAUGGCUGCGUCCCUUUGGGCAACCCCCAAAUCCACAUUUACAAAACAGUUAGUUAGGGGUGACUGUUUGCAUUACCAGAAUACUCUCAGGGUUCCUCUAAAUGGCAGCUCUCCUGUUGCAUUCAAGUGUUUACAGAUUAACGAAUGUGUCAGAAAGUCCCCUGUUCAUUGCACUUGCUGUGGUGUUGCGCAUUCACCAAACCAAUGGAAGCCAUGCUCUGCUAUGACAAUGUUAAUGUGAUCUGACCUUAGCAUUUUCCCUACAAAAUACAUAUGUUGCAUAAAGCGAGGCCCACUUCUGCCCACUUUUUGUUAAAAAUGUGUGUGUGUGUGUGUGUGUGUGUG